rnacentral:rRNA from 1 species
GACGAACGCUGGCGGCGUGCCUAACACAUGCAAGUCGAGCGGAGAUUGAGGAAGAGCUUGCUCGGAAUCAAUCUUAGCGGCGGACGGGUGAGUAACGCGUGAGCAACCUGCCUUUCACAGGGGGAUAACGCAGCGAAAGUUGUGCUAAUACCGCAUGAGACCACAGAGGGACAUCCCUUAGGGGUCAAAGGAGCAAUCCGGUGAAAGAUGGGCUCGCGUCUGAUUAGCUAGUUGGUGAGGUAACGGCCACCAAGGCGACGAUCAGUAGCCGACCUGAGAGGGUGAACGGCCACAUUGGGACUGAGACACGGCCCAAACUCCUACGGGAGGCAGCAGUGGGGAAUAUUGCACAAUGGGGGAAACCCUGAUGCAGCGACGCCGCGUGAGUGAAGAAGUAUUCGGUAUGUAAGCUCUAUCAGCAGGGAAGAAAUGACGGUACCUGACU